GGCGCACGGCCGGCGAUGAUCUACCGCAAGGCCCCUCGGCUCAGGCAGGAGCCCUACCAUGACUUACUCGGAUCCGUCACGUAGCUGGUAGCCGUCACUGACUGAUCGUGUCAAACUACAUGAUACGACAAAGUUGAAGCUGAUGUCUACCACGUUCACUGGUUUGCAGGAAGAAUUUUGGUUUUCUUAAUAUUAAUAUUUCGGAUGAUAUCAAUUUGCGACUCGAGAUAGUAAUCUUGCAUUAUUUGAGCAGUACGUUUGUUUUUUCCCUUUUUUUGCAUUUAUUUGUAACUAUAUCUAAAUUUUACAGUUUAUUGAGCAGUUUAUUAGAAUACGGUGUGACAAGGUGUUUCGAGCAGGUUUCUUACAACCUCAAAGUUAUUUAGUUGACGUAUGUUAGUUGACUGAUUUCUCCGCUCAUGAAUUAAUUACAGAACUAUUAUUUCAGCUUAGAUAUUGAUUAGACGGUGGUUUGGUCAGGGCUUUCUUCCCCCUUUUUUACUUUACGAAGAAAUCGUAAGUUUAUGAAUUUAUCGUACCAUAUCAGUUAUUAAUUGAACUAAACUACCACCCAGGGUUGAAUUCGCCAUAAGUUGUUUACCGGUGGAGAGGAAACUAGCAGUUUAAGCAGGUCACCGAAACUGUAAGAAAACUUAGUUGAAAUGGUAACCAGUUUAUUAAUGCUCCUUAUUCUCGAUUGUAGCUUAAUAGCAACAUCUACAACAAAUAUAAAUCGUCGUUCGCUAAAGAGUCGCUGACUUAGUAUUUCCUCCCGGUGUCAACAAAUCUAUUAAGAGUUUCGCGGCACGGACACGGUGUGUUCCUAGCCACGUCUAUAAUUAUGGCAACAGCAUCGGUCUCCGCAGGGCUGCAGUACUACUGUGGUAAAUGCAGCAUGCCCGAUAUUGGUUCCGACACGAUCACCUGUGUAAAAUGCCGACGAUGGUAUCACGGUAGAUGCGUAGGUGGGAGCGGAGACAGCACGGAUGGCAGUUGGACAUGUUCGACGUGCAAUUUGGCGAUGGCAGAACCAGCUAGAUCUACUAGUUCUGCCAGCAGUUCACGUUCGUUGCGCAUCAAACUACAGUUGAUGCGGCUGGAAGAAGAAAAAGAAGCUAUGGAGAAGCGCCUGCGCGAGAGACAGGAACAAGAGCGGCUACGAGACGAGCGCGCACAAAGGGAAAAAGAAGAGAUUGAUAAUAGAUAUCUCGAUAACAAAUACGCACUGCUGAUGGCCGAUGCCAUCGAAGAAGACGAAGAGAGCAUCAAAGGCGAAGAAGGUCAACAAAACGUUAUCAGUAAAGUAGAUGAGUGGAUCAUCGCCAGCGGGGACAGCCUAGAGAAAAAGCCUCAGGAUGACGACGUGUUAAGCUUGGCAAGAUCGGAUAGCUCUGGAUUUGACGGCCCGUCGCACCCCUCGACUCCGUUGAGCGCUCUCGGGGCUAAGGUAAUUUUCUCAUACGCAAAGCAGAUCCCGUUCAAGAUGGGGCACGUACUGUUUACCUCGACACCAAUUGAUGAGAUCAGCAUGGAUAAACUGACAGUUAACAACCCAGCUGGACAGCUGUUACCGAUCUCUCAGGGCGUAAUAAAUGGGACUGGCAACACGAACCUACAACAUGCAAGUGCGAACACGCAGCUACCUGCGGCUCAGCAUUUCUCGGCGCCGUCUGCAUUGCCUGGCCAAGAAUCAAGCACUACGCAGCCACCUGCGGCACAGCAGAUCCCGGCGUUGCCCACUGCUAACCAAGUUUGGACCACUCCUACUACACACGCAGGUGCCUUCACGCAGCCAGCUGCGACACAGCAGUCUUCGGCGUUGCCCGCGACUGGGCAGUUCUCAACCGCGUCGCAUUCGCACGCAGGUACUCUUACGCAGCCACCUGCGGCUCAGCAGAUCCCGGCGUUGCCCACUUCAACUAACCAAGCCCAGACCGCGCCGCCUACGCACGCAGGUGUAUUUACGCAGCCACCUGCGGCUCAGCAUUCCUCGGCGCCGUCUGCGUUGACUGGCCAAGACUCACGCACUACGCAGCCGCCUGCAGUAAAUCAGUCCUCGGCGCAGCCACCUGCGGUUCAGCAGAUCUCGACGUUGCCCACUCCAGCCAACCAAGUUCAGACCGCUCCCCCUAUACACGCAGGUGCCUUCACGCAGCCAGCUGCGACACAGCAGUCUUCGGCGUUGCCCGCGACUGGGCAGUUCUCAACCGCGUCGCAUUCGCACGCAGGUGCUCUUACGCAGCCACCUGCGGCUCAGCAGAUCCCGGCGUUGCCCACUUCAACUAACCAAGCCCAGACCGCGCCGCCUACGCACGCAGGUGUAUUUACGCAGCCACCUGCGGCUCAGCAUUCCUCGGCGCCGUCUGCAUUGACUGGCCAAGACUCACGCACUACGCAGCCGCCUGCAGUAAAUCAGUCCUCGGCGCAGCCACCUGCGGCACAGCACUUCUCGGCGUGGCUGACUCCAGCUGGUCAUUUCCAAACCGCUCCGCCUACGCACGCAGGUGCAUUUACGCAGCCACCUGCGGCUCAGCAGAUCUCGGCGUUGCCCACUCCAGCCAACCAAGUACAGACCGCCCCCCCUAUACACGCAGGUGCCUUCACGCAGCCAGCUGCGACGCAGCAGUCUUCGGCGUUGCCCGCGACUGGGCAGUUCUCAACCGCGUCGCCUUCGCACGCAGGUGCUCUUACGCAGCCACCUGCGGCUCAGCAGAUCCCGGCGUUGCCCACUUCAACUAACCAAGCCCAGACCGCGCCGCCUACGCACGCAGGUGUAUUUACGCAGCCACCUGCGGCUCAGCAUUCCUCGGCGCCGUCUGCGUUGACUGGCCAAGACUCACGCACUACGCAGCCGCCUGCAGUAAAUCAGUCCUCGGCGCAGCCACCUGCGGCACAGCACUUCUCGGCGUGGCCGACUCCAGCUGGUCAUUUCCAAACCGCUCCGCCUACGCACGCAGGUGCAUUUACGCAGCCACCUGCGGCUCAGCAGAUCUCGGCGUUGCCCACUCCAGCCAACCAAGUACAGACCGCUCCCCCUAUACACGCAGGUGCCUUCACGCAGCCAGCUGCGACGCAGCAGUCUUCGGCGUUGCCCGCGACUGGGCAGUUCUCAACCGCGCCGCAUUCGCACGCAGGUGCAUUUACGCAGCCAUCGUCGGACCAGCAGAUUCCGGCGGAUAGACACUCUCCAGUGUACCUGAAUUCGACGCUAGCAGACACCUGGCCAGGAUUACCAGAAUUCACAACAUUCUCUGCAACCGGUCAAGUACCCCCAUCUCAGCCAGCGCCUUUUGCAGAUACAGUGCCUAUACCACCAGGGACACUGCCAAUCUCAGCGCCGCUUACCGUAACUUGUCGAGUUCCGGCAUCACAACAGUCGCAACAAGCCGGCGUGGCUUCGAUUCCACCAGCUGCUUUCCACUUCUCGGCACCGCUGACUGCGGUUAACCAAACCACGACGGCCCCGUAUUCGAUGCCACCUGGGAUUACACAUUUCACAACCCCUCUGACGAAUUACCAACUCCCGAAUGCUGAACAGCAGAAGCAAGCAGGUGCAUUCUCGCGGCCGCCAGGGGCACAGCAGUUCUCAACGACUACUUCGGCCGAACAAGUUCCGACCUCGUCGCAAACGGCUCCAGAAUGGCACAGGGAUCCAGUAAGCUGGUACCAGCAACGCUUGGCCGCACGGCAAGUAGUUCCUAAGGAACUACCCAUAUUCGGUGGGAACCCCGAGGACUGGCCGCUAUUCAUUAGUAGCUAUCGCAAUUCUACAGAAAUGUGUGGUUUCACGGAUGCUGAGAACAUGAUGCGCCUACAGAAGUGUCUACGUGGUUACGCAAUGGAAAUCGCGCACAGUAAUCUGCUCCAUCCUUCAACGGUUCCGCAAGCAAUAGCAACUCUGGAAAUGCUGUGUGGCAACCCGGAAAGACUGAUUCAAACACUGCUGCAAAAAGUCAAGAACACGCCCGCGCCGAAAGCAGACCGCCUUGACACGUUGAUCAAUUUUGGCGUCGUCGUUCAAAAUCUGGUCGGGCACCUGAAAGGUGCAAAUCAGCAAGCUCAUUUGACGAACCCAUCGCUUUUACGAGAGCUAGUAGAUAAGUUACCCGCUCACAUCUGUCUGGACUGGGCUAUCUACAAAAGGCGUUUCGAAGUAGUAAGCUUGGAGACGUUUAGCGUUUACAUGACGGAGAUCAUUGCGGCAGUCAGCGACGUUGCUAGGUUUAACGAAACCGACGGAUUAAGGCCAAGCAGAAAUGAAAAGCAGAAACCGAAGGAGAAGGGAUUCGUAAACGCCCACACCUCUGGUGACAACACGGAGCAAGAUAAAGCUAACGAUAGGGGAGGAAGAUCCAGCGCUCAGGCCAAGCCUUGUUUCAUCUGCCAGAAAUCAGGGCAUCGAGUCAAAGAUUGCUUUACGUACAAGUCGCUCUCUCUAAACGACCGCUGGAAAGCAGUACAAACGUAUCAGCUCUGCCCCAGAUGUUUGGUUCCUCACGGUCGAUGGCCAUGUCGGACAACAUCGCCUUGCGAUGUAAGCGGGUGUUCAGACAACCACCACGCGCUCCUUCACCCUGGACCACCGAACGCAACCGCUGGAAAACACCCCGAAACAACCGUAGUAUCGCUUCACCAGUAUCCAGAAAGCCCGACUUUGUUCCGGAUGGUUCCAGUGGUUCUGUACGGGAAGACCAACCGUUUCGAGACCUUUGCUUUCUUAGACGAAGGAUCAGAAUUAACGCUAAUGGACGCAGAGAUUGCCGAAGCGUUGGGACUCCAAGGCGAAACACGACCGCUUUGUUUGAAAUGGACUUCCGGAGUCACCAGGGAUGAGUCGGAUUCGAAGAAGAUCACUCUGGAAAUUUCCGGAGUCAAAAAUGAAAAACGAUUCCCGCUGCAGAACGUCCGAACGGUACAUCGUCUCGAUUUACCAACCCAAACUUUGGACUUCGAACAGCUAACCGCGAAAUAUCCUCAUCUACAAAAACUACCGGUCCAAAGCUACCAAAACGUCACCCCAAAGUUACUUAUCGGUUUAAACAACCUGCAACUGGCCCUCCCUCUGAAGUGUCGCACGGGUCGGGGCAACGAGCCGGUGGCCGCAAAGACCAAGCUCGGUUGGACCGUUUUCGGGAACACUAGAGAUUCCGACUCCGCACAUAGCUUUCACGUUUGCGACUGUACAAAAACAGGCGACCUCCACGACCUCGUCAAGGAGUUCUUCGCCUUUGAGAGCCUAGGGAUCACCAGUGCACCACUUCCGGAAGGCGUGGAGGAAACCCGAGCCAAAACAAUUCUGAACGAGACGACGAAGAAGUGUGCGGACGGUCACUUCGAGACGGGCUUACUGUGGCGCUACGAUCACUUCGAGUUUCCUCCGAGCUAUGCGAUGGCGUUGGGAAGGUUGCAGUGCUUGGAACGCCGCUUACAAAAACACCCAGCACUAAAAGCUAGUUUGGACAAACAGAUCUUGGAAUACCAAGCGAAAGGCUACGCCCACAAAGCAACAGCACAGGAAUUGGCAGUUGCUGACCCGAAGCGAGGAUGGUACUUGCCUCUCGGAAUAGUGACCAACCCUAAGAAACCUGAAAAGGUUCGAAUCAUCUGGGACGCGGCAGCUAAGGUGAACGGAGUUUCUUUCAACUCUAUGUUACUUAAGGGUCCCGACAUGCUGACUUCCUUGUCUUCGGUCUUAUUUCGUUUCCGAGAACGGAAAUUCUGCAUCACUGCCGACAUCAAGGAGAUGUAUCACCAGGUUAAAAUUCGUGCGGAAGACCGAAUGUCACAACGGUUCCUGUACAGAUCUGACCCCUCGCACCAGCCUGAAACCUACAUCAUGGACGUGGCGACGUUCGGGUCAACCUGCUCCCCAUGCUCGGCGCAAUUUGUUAAAAACCUCAACGCUGAGCAGUGGAAGGCGUCAUUCCCAGAAGCAGCUGAAGCUAUAGUACAAAACCACUACGUGGACGAUUACUUGGAUAGCCGGGACACAGAAGAGGAACUGGUCAAACUAUCUGUCGACGUCAAGACCGUUCAUUCAAAAGCAGGGUUUGAAAUUAGGAACUGGAGAUCAAACUCACAGAAUGUUCUUCGACGGGUCGGGGCCGAACCAGCAAACGUCGCAAAAAUGCUAUUUGUGGAUAAGGCAGUACCAGCAGAACGAGUCCUGGGAAUGACAUGGCUCCCGAACGAGGACAUGUUCACAUUCUCGGUCAUCCUGUCGGACGAUCUACAACGAAUGAUCCUCGGAGUUGUCACUGUCACUAAACGUGGUGUCUUGCGGGUUUUGAUGAGUUUGUUCGAUCCCCAUGGAUUGAUCUCAAACUUUCUUAUCCAUGGUAAGAUCAUUAUCCAAGAUCUGUGGCGUAGCGGUGUAUCCUGGGACGACCCGAUUCCGCGUACCAUCCAAGAACAGUGGGAACGGUGGAUUAAUCUUCUACAGAACCUGUCGCAGAUUAGAGUCCCUCGGUGCUACUUUCCAGGAUACCACGUAGAAGACUUGAAAACGCUCGAGCUGCAUGUGUUUGUGGACGCCAGCGAGUCAGCGUACGCUUGCGUAGCGUACUUCCGGAUUAUUCAGGAUGGCAAACCGCGGUGCGUGUUCGUGACAUCCAAAGCAAAGGUAACACCUUUGAAGUCCGUUUCGGUUCCCAGACUGGAGUUGAACGCGGGGGUCAUCGGAUGUCGACUCGCGAAAACCAUCAAGGAAAACACCACGCUACCCAUUAGCCGUACGGUUUACUGGACCGACUCUAGUACACUUCUGUCCUGGAUCAGAUCAGACACUCGAAGAUAUCGUCAGUAUGUCGCCGUUCGAGUCGGUGAAAUUCUGGAAACGACCGAUAUUUCAGAAUGGCGCUGGGUGCCUACCAAACUCAACGUAGCAGAUGAAGCCACAAAAUGGGGCAAAGGACCGAAUGUUGAACCGGAGAGUCGGUGGUUCAUGGGACCAGACUUUUUAUACCAGCUCGAGGAUUUUUGGCCCCAACAGAGACUCCCAGAGCCGGACACAACCGAAGAACUUCGUCCUAUCUACGUGCACCGGGAAAUCAUUCGAAGUCCGUUUAUUGACGUGUCGCGGUUCUCAAAGUGGGAACGUCUACUACGAAGCACUGCUCACGUUCUUAGCUGGCUCGAUCGCGCUCGCACACCUGCUAGUAGUCGACGAUACACGUUGACGAAACAAGAUCUGGAACGAGCAGAAUGGGCACUGUGGCGGCUGGCUCAAGCAGAUGAAUAUGCGGACGAGGUAGUGGAACUGACCAUAUACUCGAAAGAUAAGGCGCGGCAGCUGUUACGGCUCGAUAAGUCAAGUAAAAUCCGCCAUCUUUCACCAUUUCUCGACGAACACGGGGUAAUCAGAAUGGAGGGUCGAAUCGAGGCCUCACCGUUCGCCUCCUAUGAUGCCAAAUACCCUGUCAUUCUUCCACGAAGCCACUACAUCACCGAGCUGAUAAUCGAUUGGUACCACCGUCGUUUUGGACAUGGAUUUGGCGAAACAGUGGUCAAUGAGAUCAGACAACGGUUUCACGUGUCCAACCUUCGCGUCCUGGUCCGGGACUACCCGAAGAAAUGUAACUUCUGCAAGAUGGAGAAGGCAGAGCCACAAGUACCUAGGAUGGCUCCACUUCCUGCAGCACGAGUCACUCCAUACGAACGGGCGUUCACAAGAGUGGGAAUUGAUUACUGUGGGCCAUUCGCCGUUAAGUUCGGGCGUGGCACUGUUAAGCGCUGGGUAGCGUUAUUCACAUGCUUGGCUACCCGCGCAGUGCACUUAGAAGUUGUUGCGUCACUAUCUACAGAGUCGUGUAAAUUAGCCCUACGGCGAUUCAUUGGUCGACGCGGUGCACCAGCAGAAAUCUAUACAGAUAACGGAACAAAUUUCCAGGGAACACAACGCGAGCUGUUGGAGCAAAUCCAGAACACUAACCGCCACCUAGCCGAGACGUUUACUGACGCAAAUACCAGCUGGUUUUUCAUCCCUCCAGCAACUCCACAUAUGGGAGGAGCGUGGGAGCGCAUGGUUCGAUCGGUCAAAGCAGCAAUGAACGGCCUCCAGAAGACGCGGACUCCAACUGAAGAAGUUUUCCAGACUGUUUGCGUUGAAGCAGAGUCGAUGAUCAACAGCAGACCAUUGACGUAUAUUCCUCUGGAAACAUCGGACCAGGAAGCCCUUACCCCUAACCAUUUCCUGCUGCUCAGUUCAACGGGGGUGAAGCAAACCGUCAAACAGCCCACGAGUGACGCUGCUGCAUUACGAAGCGACUGGAAUUUAUGUCAAUCGAUUUUGGAUCGCUUCUGGACGCGAUGGAUUCGUGAAUAUCUGCCCACGCUCACACGCAGAACAAAGUGGUUCGAUGAUGUUACACCUCUGGAGGAAGGAUCCCUGGUAUUCGUCGUAGACGACAAGCUACGGAACAACUGGAUUCGCGGCCGAGUCCUGAAGGUAAUUCGCAGUCAUGACGGGCGAAUCAGGCAAGCUGACGUGCAGACGGCAUCCGGUGGAGUACUGCGACGAGCUGCGGCGAAACUGGCCGUGCUGGACAUCAGGCAGAGUGGUAACGCUGGCGAACCGGAGCAGCUUUACGGGUCGGGGAAUGUUGGUACUGGGCGCACGGCCGGCGAUGAUCUACCGCAAGGCCCCUCGGCUCAGGCAGGAGCCCUACCAUGACUUACUCGGAUCCGUCACGUAGCUGGUAGCCGUCACUGACUGAUCGUGUCAAACUACAUGAUACGACAAAGUUGAAGCUGAUGUCUACCACGUUCACUGGUUUGCAGGAAGAAUUUUGGUUUUCUUAAUAUUAAUAUUUCGGAUGAUAUCAAUUUGCGACUCGAGAUAGUAAUCUUGCAUUAUUUGAGCAUUUAUUGAGCAGUUUAUUAGAAUACGGUGUGACAAGGUGUUUCGAGCAGGUUUCUUACAACCUCAAAGUUAUUUAGUUGACGUAUGUUAGUUGACUGAUUUCUCCGCUCAUGAAUUAAUUACAGAACUAUUAUUUCAGCUUAGAUAUUGAUUAGACGGUGGUUUGGUCAGGGCUUUCUUCCCCCUUUUUUACUUUACGAAGAAAUCGUAAGUUUAUGAAUUUAUCGUACCAUAUCAGUUAUUAAUUGAACUAAACUACCACCCAGGGUUGAAUUCGCCAUAAGUUGUUUACCGGUGGAGAGGAAACUAGCAGUUUAAGCAGGUCACCGAAACUGUAAGAAAACUUAGUUGAAAUGGUAACCAGUUUAUUAAUGCUCCUUAUUCUCGAUUGUAGCUUAAUAGCAACAUCUACAACAAAUAUAAAUCGUCGUUCGCUAAAGAGUCGCUGACUUAGUAUUUCCUCCCGGUG